UACGAAGGGUGCAAACGUUGCUCGGAAUUAUUGGCGUAAAGCGCACGUAGGCGGCUUGGCAAGUCGGAUGUGAAGUCCCUCGGCUCAACCAAGGAAGUGCAUCCCGAAACUGCUGAGCUUGAGUACUUAAGAGGAUCGCGGAAUUCCCGGUGUAGAGGUGAAAUUCGUAGAUAUCGGGAGGAACACCAGUGGCGAAGGCGGCUCACUGGCCCGAGUACGUGACG
rnacentral:rRNA from 1 species